rnacentral:rRNA from 1 species
UACAGAGACUGCAAGCGUUAUUCGGAUUCACUGGGCGUAAAGGGUGCGCAGGCGGUCGGGUGUGUCAGAUGUGAAAUCCCGAGGCUCAACCUCGGAACUGCGUCUGAAACUACUCGACUAGAGUACUGGAGAGGGUAACGGAAUUCACGGUGUAGCAGUGAAAUGCGUAGAUAUCAUCAGGAACACCGGAGGCGAAGGCGGCUCACUGGGGGUCUUCUGACGCUGAGGAACGAAAGCCAGGGGAGCGAACGGG